rnacentral:tRNA from 1 species
GAGGAUAUAGCUUAGUGGUAUAGUGUGUGCUUAGCUCGCGCAAGGUCCUGGGUUCAAUCCCCAGUACCUCU